AUGUAUCUUUCACCAUCACUUGGUUUUCGGCAACUCAGGCAACCCUGCAUAGACAUACUGAUGUGAGUUGUUGCACCAGAAUCUAUCCACCAUGUAUGUCUAGGUACCGAAGUUAAAUUAACCUCAGAACAAACCAAAUGAAGAAGAGUACCUUUCUUUACACGCCAUGCGUGGUAAUUGGUGCAAUUCUUCUUCUUAUGACCUGCAGCUCCACAGAAGAAACAACCGCCUUCAGUUGGUUCCUUAUGCUGUUUCUUUUGCGGUGCCGUACCCGCAGCUUCCUUAUUAAUCUUCCUUUUCUUGUUGCUUUUGUCCNAUUUAACAUUUCUGUGAUUUUGUAUGUGAAAUGCGACGAUCUCAUCAACAGAACACGCAAUCUUGAAUUUGCUCGAAAUAUUUCUGUCACCUUUGAUCUGGGUCAUUUGAAAGAUUAUUAUGGGCAGCAUUUUUUUUUGACAUAUCGACGUGGGAAAAGUUGUGAAUUUAAGUGGGAAAUUAUUUUAUAGGAAAAAUGAAUUUUUGGGAAAAAUGGAGAUAAAGAUCGGCUAUAUAUCAUAUUAUUUUUCAAGCCCUUUGUAAGAUAUUUUUGGUUAGGGUUCGUUUGUUCACAUUUUGAUUUACUCAGGUCUGCCUCCUCCUCUCACAUGGGGUCGGACCCGACGUCAUUACCCCCACAUGGGAUCCGACCUUAUGUGAGAGGAGUAGUGGGAUCGGAUAAGUCAAAGUGUCAACAAAUAAAUAUAAAUGACUUAAUUCUUUUGGUUAACCUAAUUUACUAAAAAAUACCCCUGGAUGAGGACAAGUCACCGUCAGCAGAGGACGGCCUCCAAGUAAUUUUCAAAAUUUUUUUCUGGUUAUUAUUAUUUUAUUAUUCGGUUAUUUCUCCUAAUGUGGGGUGAGUUUUCUAUUAUUUUUAAUUUUUUGAACGUUCGACAACUCAUUAAUUUACAACUUUAAUCGAUGAUAUUGUUCAUUAAAAUAGACUUUUCUGAUAUUGUUCAAAUUAAGGUUGUCCAACCUACCUUUCCGAACGUGAUGAUGAUUGUGUAGCACUAGGCAUGAUUUUUUUUUUAUAAAGUAUUUUCGACUGCGUAUAAUUUUCUAUUUCCUUCACCUUAACCAUGAGGUGAGGACAAAGUGGUGCCAUUAUGUCAUUUUCAUUAUUAAUGAGACAAUUAUUUGGUUAUAAGCAAGUCCUUAUCUUAUUAUGUGUUAUUAUUGAACAUGUGACAACAAACACCUACCUAAUAUAAGCGCCCGCCAUUAAAGCCUCUCGUUUAGGUUUUCGUAUUUAAUUAAUAAAGCCUUCUAUUUAGGUACCAUCAUCCUAUCAUUGUUUUAUGCUUUGAUUGAAUCCGAAUUUAUCUAAUCCAUUACGCAGGAGGGGUGUUCAUGUGUCGGUCUACGACAAGAAUCUAGAGGAGCAUGUCCACUCAACCGUGGUGCCUGACUAUUUAAUCCUACCCGAAUCUGACAAAUAUUGGGGUCCUCACCCUCAGACCGGGGUUUUUGGCCCUACAACCGAUCACAACCCACGUACACGCGGUUUUCACUCCUCAUCGAUGAGUGCUAGUGGCGAUUCAGUGUUGGAGCAAAAGGCCUUUUUUCGCCCUCUUGAAGAUUUGGAGAAGCCACCCCACCCUUGAAUUGCAGGGGAAAACUAGAAAAAUGCCUUACAAAUAAGUUUAGCAUGGUGAAUGGGUUUGCCCUAGUAGUGAUCUGUGUAUGUGUGGGUGAAGUUCAAUGAAUACCGCUCUAAUGUUCAUAUUUUCGUUGAUUUUGCUUAUAAUGCUUUUGCUUUAUUUAUUGUGUCUAUGCUGGUGCUGCCUAUCCUCCAAAUUAUUUAUACUUGAAUCAAAUUUAAUCGACUCCAUGUAUGUAUGCCCUUACAAAUGUGUGCUCUGAACAAUUCUAAUACGUUAUGUUAGACUAGGGAUGGUAAUUUGAACCGUCGAAACAGAAAA
rnacentral:lncRNA from 1 species